rnacentral:rRNA from 1 species
CACCAGCUCCACAAGUGGGGAUCACAUUUAUUUGGCCUAAAGCGUCCGUAGCCGGUUUUGUAAAUCUUUUGUGAAAUUGUUAGGCUCAACCUAACAGCGCGCAGGGGACACUGCAGAACUAGGGACCGGGAAGGGUAAGGGGUAUGUUGAGGGGAGCGGUAAAAUGCAAUAAUCCUCGAUAGACCACCUGUGGCGUAGGCGCCUUACUAGAACGGGUCCGACGGUGAGGGACGAAAGCCAGGGGA